CCUACGGGAGGCAGCAGUGAGGAAUAUUGGUCAAUGGGCGGAAGCCUGAACCAGCCAAGUAGCGUGCAGGAUGACGGCCCUACGGGUUGUAAACCGCUUUUAUACGGGAAUAACGCGCCUUACGUGUAGGGCUUUGCAUGUACCGUAUGAAUAAGGACCGGCUAAUUCCGUGCCAGCAGCCGCGGUAAUACGGAAGGUCCGGGCGUUAUCCGGAUUUAAUGGGUUUAAAGGGAGCGUAGGCCGCAUGUCAAGCGUGCUGUGAAAUGUCCGGGCUCAACCCGGGCCUUGCAGCGCGAACUGGCGUGCUUGAGUCCGCGGAAAGCAGGCGGAAUUCGUGGUGUAGCGGUGAAAUGCUUAGAUAUGACGAAGAACCCCGAUUGCGAAGGCAGCUUGCUGCAGCGGAACUGACGCUGAUGCUCGAAAGCGCGGGUAUCGAACAGGAUUAGAUACCCUAGUAGUC
rnacentral:rRNA from 1 species